CCCCAGCGCCACUAGUGGGAAUCGCGUUUAUUGGGCCUAAAGCAUCCGUAGCCGGUUUUGUAAAUCUUUUGUGAAAUUGUUUCGCUCAACGGAACAGCGCGCAGGGGACACUGCAGAACUAGGGACCGGGAGGAGUAAGAGGUAUGCAAUGGGGAGCGGUAAAAUGCUAUAAUCCAUUGUAGACCACCUGUGGCGAAGGCGUCUUACUAGAACGGGUCCGACGGUGAGGGAUGAAAGCCAGGGGAGCAAACCGG
rnacentral:rRNA from 1 species